rnacentral:rRNA from 1 species
GUACACGCUGUGACUAGCAUAUCAAUAAGCGGAGGAAAAGAAACUAACAAGGAUUCCCCUAGUAACGGCGAGUGAAGCGGGAAGAGCUCAAAUUUGAAAUCUUAAAGGGUUUCCCUUUACGAAUUGUAGUUUAAAGAAGUGUUUUCUGUUGAGGUUUUGGUAAAAGUUCUUUGGAAUAGGACAUCAUAGAGGGUGAGAAUCCCGUAUUUGACCUUUACUUUCAACUUUGUGAUACACUUUCAAAGAGUCGGAUUGUUUGGGAAUGCAGUCCAAAAUGGGUGGUAAAUUUCAUCUAAAGCUAAAUAUUGGCGAGAGACCGAUAGCGAACAAGUACCGUGAGGGAAAGAUGAAAAGAACUUUGAAAAGAGAGUUAAACAGUACGUGAAAUUGUCAAAAGGGAGGCGUUUGACACCAGUGUUGUUUUUCUGAAAAUCAAUUAAAGAACUGUUUAUGCUAAGCUGUUUAGACUUUAUCAGCUAUCUGUUUAGUUUUGAGCUUUUCUUUAAUGCACUUUUCAGUUAACAAGUCAACAUCAAUUUCUUUUGCUGUAAAAAAGCUUGAGGAAGGUGGCUUGAGAUUCGUCUUAAGUGUUUAUAGCCUCUUGCCUAUGCAGUCGGAGAGAUUGAGGUCUGCAGCGUAGAUCCUUCGGGGCUAAAUGCAUUUGUGCUAAGUUAUAGCAUUUUAUAGACAACUUGUUGACUAUGAUUUGUCUUGUAGCUUACUCGCUUAUGUUAUUUUACCUACGCUUAGGAUGUUGAGUCGUAGAGCACGCAG